AACGUAGACAGCUGCAGUAGCUGUGAGAGAAGUGUGUCCAUGAUGACGUCACGCACAGAAGCUGUUCGUAGCAAAACUAUUAAGUUGCUCUACAUUAUAUUUAUGUACCUUUGUCUCGACCAAUAUUUUUAGGUAAUCUACAAAAGAAAAUUCCCUGAAUACGACUAUCAGUAUACAGUCGGCUGUGCUGUCCAAAUACUGCCAUUGUUCUAAUGACUGCAUUAUUCUGAUUAAUAAUAGGAGAAACAAAUACAUAAAUCUGUGUUCUUAACUUCAAAAUACUAUAUAAUCCCGACUGCAGUACGUAGUUUUCAUUUCAAAAUGAAGCAGUUCGUGUUUUGUUUGAGUAUUUUUAUCUUCAUUAUAUUCUUGGCUAACAGAGAAGUAAUGGCCCAAAGUAAUGAGGGAGAAAUACAAGGAACUCGUCCUAAGGAACAUCUCCUACAAUCAUCUCCUGUCAAUGUUGUUAUACCAGGUCCUAUUUUGUCAGCUGCUGAUGAGGUUGAAAGAAUAAGUAAUGGUAAACGCUAAAUACCACUUCCCAUAUCUAACCAAAGAAGAAGAAAACAACUCGCAGUUGCCUGAAUCUUGUGAUGGUUAAUAAAUAAUUGUUUUGCUGAAUAUGUGUUUGCUUAUUGCUUUAGUCGAUCAGAUCGGAAGAGC
rnacentral:lncRNA from 1 species